rnacentral:lncRNA from 1 species
AGGAAGAGGAGGGAGGAGGGGUCUGGAGGAGGAAGAGGAGAUCCGGGCGCCCCAGCGGUGGCUCGACCGAUGCGAGGUCUGAUGAGUGCCUCUCCGACUCCUCCCUCCAUCCUCGCCACCAACCACCAUCCUCUUCUCCGCCAUGGCCUGCCGAGGCUGGCAAGGAGGAGACCGUCGCCCGUGCUCUCGAGCUCAAAGGUUCGGCCUUGGUCGCCUUCCCCCAACUUUUCUUGUUUCUUUCUCAGAUUUACCUGUUCAUCCUCUCGAGAUUCGAUUAGAUGUGUGUAUCUGUUCAUUUGCAGGGAGAGUUGGAUCCCAAGGGCAGAGUUGCAGUCUAGAGCUGCGGGGAACCCGUGUGAUUUGUUCUCUGUUGAUUUCCCUUCUUGUCUGGUCUAAUUUUGUGGUCAAAAAGGCGGGCAGCGCGAGCAGGAGCGAGACCGCGCAGACCUAGCCGCAUCCCUCGUCCCCUCUUGCCGCCGCCGGCUGCUCUCCUCUCCCCGCGCCUCGUCUGCCUCCUCUGCUCCCUCUCCCUUGUCUCCUCUCCCGCACCACCAGCCCCUUAUCUCUGCUCGCCCCAGCCGUCUCUCUCCUCCCCCGCACCGUCAGCCCCGGAUCUGGAGGAAGAGGAGGGAGGCGGGGUCUGGAGGAGGAAGAGGAGAUCCGGGCGCCCCGGCGGUGGCUCGACCGAUGCGAGGUCCGAUGAGUGCCUCUCCGACUCCUCCCUCCAUCCUCGCCACCAACCACCGUCCUCUUCUCCGCCGUGGCCUGCCGAGGCUGGCAAGGAGGAGACCGCCGCCCGUGCUCUCGAGCUCAAAGGUUCGGCCUUGGUCGCCUUCCCCCAACUUUUCUUGUUUCUUUCUCAGAUUUACCUGUUCAUCCUCUCGAGAUUUGAUUAGAUGUGUGUAUCUGUUCAUUUGCAGGGGGAGUUGGAUCCCAAGGGCAGAGUUGCAGUCUAGAGCUGCAGGGAACCCGUGUGAUUUGUUCUCUGUUGAUUUCCCUUCUUGUCUGGUCUAAUUUCGUGGUCAAAACAAUGGCAGAUUUCUUCAUUGGUUGAUUUGAUUUGGGGCUGAUUUUCCCCUGGAUUCCUUCCUCUUGCAGUUCCUUUCCGACUUGUUGUUCUUGCCUUGCUUCCCAACCACAGGUGCUCCCCACGGUGAGGAGCGGACGCGCUCGACGCCUUUCUUCCCAACCAGGUGCUCCUCUAUCUCUCCCUAUGUGUUGUGUGAUGAAUGUGUGGUAGUGGGAGUGGGAUAGGGAGAGGUAAAGAGAGCAGAUUCCAAAUGCAAUGGAAGGGAACUUUCAAUCCAAGUUUAAUUUUCAUUGGGCAUUCAAAUUCUUAAUUUGAUCUUCUCAAAUUUUUGCCUAGGUGUAUAAACAUACAUGCACAUGUAUAU